rnacentral:rRNA from 1 species
CGUUUAGGGGUAAACCUGAGAAACCCGAAAGGUCGAAGGAGGAAAUUCAUUCGCGUUUUGACGUUUAAGUUGAAUGGUGUUUGUGUGACGUAAAAAAGAGCUUGUCUCUUUCAGCGCACCCAUCAUUUAUCGAAUUUACGACAAACGCGUGCACUUUUCCUCUUGUAGAACGUCGCAAUCCGUUGGGUGUUGAUCUACGACUUGUGGUGGAGUCCGUUCUUAACGUGCUUAUGCACAUUGAGUACGAACCCAUAAUGUUCUGGUCAACUAGCUCGACGGUAUAAAUAAGAUUUUAGAUCGCUGCUUAAUAUUGAAGCGUCUGACUUAUGGCAAGCGCGCCAUAUGUUUGUUGGCAAUCGGACCUAGUGCCGGUUCCGACCUUUGGUGACUGUUGGCUGUAAUGUUCUCGGACAGAUCUUUAAUCGUUUAGCGGCGCUAUAGCUUUGGGUAAUUUCAGGACCCGUCUUGAAACACGGACCAAGGAGUCUAGCAUGUACGCAAGUCAUUGGGAAUAAUUACUAAACCUAAAGGCGUAAUGAAAGUAAAAGUUUUUGCUUGCAAAAACCGAGGGAAGAUGAGUGAUUUUUUUAAUUGAAAUUCGCUUCGCACUCCCGGGGCGUCUCAUUCUCAUUGCGAGACGAGGCGCACCAAGAGCGUACACGCUGGGACCCGAAAGAUGGUGAACUAUGCCUGGUCAGGACGAAGUCAGGGGAAACCCUGAUGGAGGUCCGUAGCGAUUCUGACGUGCAAAUCGAUCGUCGGAACUGGGUAUAGGGGCGAAAGACUAAUCGAACCAUC